GGGGGCCGAAAAUAUCUCUGCCUGCCUCUCUCCACCUUCUCUCUCCCUCCCAUCCUCUCCUCCUCCAAUCCGUCUCCUCCGCCCCUCCCGCUCCUCUCUCGACGCCGUCCGUCCUGCUCCUCUCCCCAAUUUCUUCUUCUUCCUCCCCUCCCUACUCGCCAUGCCCCGCUCGUGCAUAGAAGGAGGAGCACAGGGAAGGGGCCUGGGACGUGCCACUGCUAGUGAGGGUCAGAGGGGGAGAAAGAGUGAAUAGGGGAUUGACGGAGGAGGAAGAGAGACCCAGCGGCGCGCUGCAUCUCCCUCCAUCUCGGCUUCUCUUCGUCUCGCGCAUUAGCUGGUUGCCUGCCGGGAUCUGCCCCUCAACCCAACCCUCUUGGUUUGGGGCAGAAGGAGGUCGUCGACGGUGCCGAGGUAUAUGGACUGAAGGUUAUUGUGCAUGCACCUCCAUUCAUAUCAAGCUUGCAGUGUCACAACAGAUAGGUACAUGAUUUGCUGCUUGUUGCGUGACCCCCAUCUCAGUGCAUCGCUAGGAGAAGUUAUGCUGCAGCUGCGCCACAUAACAGGGCCCUGCUAACGUUUCUUUUCUCCUCUGCAAUGAGGAACGCUGCCAUGGAUUCUCUGUCCGGGUGUCCCAGCAGCGUGUCGGGGAAGACUUGAUCUGCAAGGCGGAGCACGCUCGAGAGACGGCGAUAUACGGAGCUAGGAGUUUAAGGCACAUCUUUUUUUCUUAGUAUUGGAUCCUGCGCCCAUUUUGACUUCUCAAGAAUAACUGAAUGUAUGAUUACUUCAUAAGGUUAGUUCAUGGCAUACUGCAUUCCAGAGUGUUCCUCUACUAUAGCAUCUAUAUGAAAACUAGAUCCGUACCUUCAUUGUAAAAUAACUUUUUUGAUGAUGAAUAUGAUGUGCUUAGUCUGUUGUGCUUACAAAUUAUUCAGCGCCUUAUAGAUAUUGCCAUCUGAUGUGUAAAUUAUGUUGUGGAAGGAAGAUGAAGAUAAUCAGGUGAGCUAUUUUCUCACUAAUUAUUUGCUACUUUCUUUCUUAAGAUGUUAGGUUAUUUAGAAUUUCCGAAGCUUUCCUCUAGAAUUAGUCAAGAUUCAUUUCUUGCCUCAGUUUGUUCUCUAGAGAUCAUAAUCUGGAUACAUUGUUUAAUCGAAUUUGUGAUCGUUGUAGUUUUUGUGAUCUAGAAAUUAAAUGACUAUGAAACUGUUGGUGGUGGAUGCCAAUUGUUAAGUCCAUUUAAUAUUAAAUCCUUCGGAAUAAUUAAGGUAAUGAUUUAAAGGUCAGAUGUCUCAUGCUUUGUUAGUAUUUAUUUUCCUUGCAUAGUUCUGAGUUUGUAUAUAAAUGGGAUUGAAGUCAAAGGUUUUUUCUAUUUUCAUUCGGUUGAUAUUUUUAAACAAUGAUUUUAGUUAUAAAUAAAUCGAAUUCUGGUGCAAUACAUGUCUCUGAAUUUUCCUUUAUUUUCAUGUGUGUUCUUUCUACUAAAAAAUGCUUCUGCAGCACCUCCAAUGCCUCUGAUUUACUGUGCAGGGCAACUAACGGUCAUGAGAUAGGGAAUGAAGUCAUCGAGGCAGCACAAACUCUUGGUGUCGUGGCCACCAGCGAGCGGCAAGGGCGCAACCAGUGAUAAAGAUUGAGGUCUACAAUCGGCAGCCCGGUUGUGGCCAAUGUCCUUGCACGUUGGCCUCCCAUGCCUAGAUGAAGGUUCUAAGCCCUAGGUGCUCUCCUCCUUGGCGUCGGAUCUAACUUGCCGGAGAGUGUUCAAUCAUGGAUGGUUGGUUUAAUUACUUUUUUGGUGUGUGGCUGGUCGCAUUUAAUUUUUCUGCCCUGACGUCAUUUAUGUUAUAUACAGUUUUCUGCAUAAUUUGAUCGCUUAGGAUAUUACAGAUGCAUUAAUAUCUGAAAAAUGACUGUUCAACGGUUAUCAGGUCUAUGGCAUAUAAGAUAUUUAAGCAGUGCUUUUUGUGACCUUGGAUACAUUUACUUGAUCAUGUCCUCUGAUAUGUUUUGUUAUUAUUUUUGUUCUUGACAAUCCAGAGUUGUUAGCAGCUAACAGACGAAGUAUAUUUUGCAGUACAAAGGAAACUUCACAGAAGAUCAAGGCCAAGAACAAAGGAGAAGAUAUCCAUACUAUACCAUGUUGCUAUUACUUUUUUUAAUCCUAUCCAACAUUUCUUAUAUCCAUACUUUACUACUCCCUCCGUUCCUAGAUAUAAAGUGUAUAGUUUUUGCCAUGGAAAUUAAGAAAUGCACGUGGAGAUAAAACUACACAAGGUUUUGGCGGGAUUUAUCCUAGACAGUUGACAUGAUAAAAUAGAGGAGUUUUUAAAAGAUAAGAAAACACAAGAAAAUCCCUAAAAAAAUAUCCACACAAUUUGUCCAACGCAAUAUACCUUGUAUUUUGGAGUCUUUUGUUAAAAAACUAUACACCUUAAAUCUAGGAACGGAGGGAGUAUGUUUCAAAAUCUUGUGGGAUGUAUGUCUAAAAUGGAAAUUCAUAAUUGAGGCGCGCCCAGGCACGCGUUCCCCGAAUUUCGCAUUAUUGUGGAGGAGGACCAAUUGUGGGCUGCAAUAUCUACGGGAUAUGUAGAGAAAUAAAGAGGAAAAUCUUGUGGGCUGCAAUUUCUACGGCCAGUCAAAUCACAUUAUUUAGUAGGAGAAAUAAAGAGGAGGACCUUUUGUUGUUGUGGAUAUGUAGAGAAAUUCAUUCUGACCAUGGUGUAUUUUAUAUGGAAACUUUUUCUUUGAUUACAUCUUUUUCUUUAAUUGAGGCUUCUCUUGUCACCUAAUGAUAUAGGAGGAAAUUGUUCCGCAUGAUCCUCAUAUGAUGAAUACAAAGUGAUAUCUGCCCUUCUGGUAGCCAGGUUCGAUUAGAAUUUCAGUUUAGAGUUCAUGAUUAUGCACUAAUCUGUUUAGAAAUAAAUAUUGUCUUGGCGAAUAUUAUUAGCCAUUUUCGUGAAAAUCUGGUGAAAAGUCAUUUGACAGGUUCAGGUAAAGAUUUUCCAUAUUUUUCGUUUGACGAGUUCCGUUAAAUAUUUUCUCACAGUUUAUUUUGUGUCCAAAUUCAUCUUAUUUGUUGUUUAUCACCGACUUUCAUAAACCUUUAGGAUUUGCUUUUGUUUACCAGCAACUUCAAAGGUGUCCAGAAAUGUUCUGUUUCAAGUGCUCUGUUUUGAGAUGCUGGAAAUGCUCUUUAAUACUUAUCGUUAUUAAAUUUGAGUCUGCAUUUUGGAAAAAAAACAGCUAAUGGGUGCUAGGGAUAAUGACCGUUGCUGCAUUACAAUUCAUCUUUACCAUUUAUUUGUGAUUAAGCUCGAUUGUUUGUCACAGAAUGACACAUGUAAUAGGCAUGCUAUUUCACUACCAUUCAAUUAUAGCUUAUGUAACCUCUACAUGUCAUUGAUUUGUCAUUCAGAAUAUCCACCUUGGGCUCUACUCUGGGAUCGCGUCUGCAAUGUUGAGCCACUCCCGGAGGUACAGUGAUGGGAUUCGUCGUGGUCAGUCUGACCCCUGGCAAGGUGUCAACACUAGUGAUCUCGCCAUCUCUCUACCAUCCCGAGGUAAACAAGGCAUCUCUAUCCUCAGGCUGACUUAGGAUGUACCUGCAACCUCAUAUAUAUGGAAGUCUUGUCACCAAGGGGAAACACAAUGGCAGUGUGUAGCCAGCUAGAGAAGUGUUCUAUUUGCAGUAUAAGUUUAUUCUCAUAUUAGCUAAUUGACAACAAUAGGCGCACAUCAGCGUGCAAUGUUUUCAGCAAUCAGACAUCUAUACUCUGCAGUUAUUAGCUUUUCCCAUCUACGGUUCUUCCUUUUAGUUAGUUGGUUCACUCUCUCUCUGUGCAAUUGGCAUGUACUGCUAUGUAUGCUAUGUAAGACUGCAAACCUGGCAUAAUUUAGCUUUCUUUUAAUGUAUCCAUUAGAUUUACUUCCAUUCUCUAUUAUAUUACCAAGCCUACUUAAGCAUGAUCCCAGUUACUUAUGUUGCGUUCAGCUUUCUUUUAUUGUCUCCAUUAGAUUUAAUUCCAUGGUAUUUCUUUUUAAGAAGCUAUUACUUGCCAAAAUUUCAUAGUUUCCCUAUUAUGUACUCUAGGUCAUAUCACUAGACAUUUUGUUUGUUUGAAUAAAAAUGAUAUUUGUUACGAAUAUCAAUAUACUUAUGAGGUAAACAUUGGAUGCCCAGUCAAAAUUAAUGGUAAGAGAUCUUGGUUCUAAUAUUCCUUAAUUCACUACUAUGUUUAAACAUUUACAAUCCUGUGAUCUUGGUUCUAAUCUUCUCCAUUCAGCCAUAUUUGUUGCAAUAGUUGAUCCAAGUACCUUUUUUCACUUAGAUAUGUGCUCUCACCGCAUUGGUUAAACAGGGUUAUCGGGUUGAGCUAGAAGAACACAUCAUGUCCUAUAUUGCUUUGCUUUAAACAAACUAGAAUUAUAUGAUUACCUCACAAAAUGCUUUCCAUGAACAUAAAUGAUAUACGUUGAUCCGACGAAAUUAAAGUUUUAUCUGACCAUGGAAUAGUUUUAUUUUUAAGUGUGCCGCACUGAUGGAAGAGUUUUUUUUGGUGAUCUUCUGUCUAGAUAGCCGAACAUGAUUCACUUGAAGCAUUUUUUCCGCUCCCUCUUGAGUGUUUUGUAUUCUCUUGUGUACUUAACCACUAGCAUUUUUGAAAUCAUUUGAAGAAGCUUUACAUAUUUAUCCACUUGAGGAUGGACAUGCUACCACAAACAUUGAUAGUUAUUAUUAUUAUUAGCAAGUGUUAUUUCAGAUACCUACAGUUAAGUCUCUUAUCUUUUUUCUAGGUUUCGGUACAUGGAUCAGUAGAAGCUACCUAACAUUUUAGAAUACAUUGGGCAAAGGCCUCGGACAUGCAUAUUUAUGGUCCUCGUGUAUAAGAAAAAAUUUGAUAUAGCAUCAGAAUUAUGUGCUUACUAGGUUUGUUUGUUAAUUCUGGAGCUUUUUUAAUUCUCAAAAAAAUAUUGUGUUAAUUAUUACCUGAUGGCUUUAACGAGAUAAGAGGUAAAAUUUAACAGUUAUCAACUUAUCGAUAAGUGGUAAAAAUAUUGUGUUAAUUCUGGAGCUAUCAUGAUUCAACGUGCCCUGAAAAAGCCAUGGCUGAAAUAACGAAAUGGAAGAUAUUCACUCUCCUCAAUCUUUCAUAGCGGAUCCUUUUUUACAUUCUAUACUUCUGCAAUGUUUUCUUCCUACUUAUAGAUGUUUGGCAUUGUGUUUUUUAACUGGCCAAGAUUAACUGUGCGAUUCCAUCAUCUACUGCAGGGAAAGAGCAGCUUAUGCACAAAAGGUCUAUAUCUUAUGCUUUUUACGAUAUUGUAGUCGCACACUGUCACUGAAUUUCUUAGGACGUGUUUAAUUGGCGCGUUUUGUCAGCGAUAUUUGAUCAUUCAUAUAUUUUUAGUUAGCGAUAUUUGUAUUGCUUUGUCAGCGCACAUAGAUGAAGGGAAAAAUAUCUCAUGUAUUUUCCCGAAUCAUAUGUAAGGCCAUGAUAUAACGAAGGUGUCGGAAAGUUCGGGUGAGAUCCAAAUACUCCAUAACCUAUGAUUUCCUAGAUAUUGGUGCAUUAUUCAUGAUUAUUGAAUUAAGAAACCACACCUUUCUUAAAUUAAAUGGUAAGAAAGGCCACAAAACUAUGAUGCAAUUAGGAAGCAAAACUGAAAUCUGCUACCUGAUGUUCUGUUUGGACAUAGGAUUCAGUUUUUAAUUGCGGAAAUCAUCCAAGUUGACACUUUUGAGUUGUGGUGUGCAGACUUUCUACCUGCAUCUUGCUCUAAUUCGAUCCUUAAUCUUUUAUUAAGCAGUAAGUAAAGAAAGCUCUUCAGAUAGAUAUAAUUUCGAGAAUGACUAUGAAACUUGAUUUUUUUUGCAUGUUUAGCAGAUACUUCUAUUUUGUGUUGCGGCUAUAUUAUAUGUAUAUAUUAUGUCCAAGAGAUAUGUGGUGCGGGGAGUCGCUGUUGCAGUACAUGGAAAAAAUGAUCUUCCUUUACUUCAUGAUUAGAGUAUUCUUGUUCACCAGGGAGCACAAGGAGUUGGGGAGGAAGGACGAGCCCACAACCAUCCAUCAGCGAUGGCAAGCAGCAGAGGGUCAAGUUGGAGGCGAACAUCAAGAAGCAUGUAAGAAGGUGACAGUCUCUGGAGCAUACUGCAGCUCGGACAAUUACCACAAGAACUUGAGUUUGAGACCCUGAAGCAAACUAGGGACCGUCUUUCCAGCUAGAAACAACAGGGGAAACCUAAAGGUAAAACAAGAAAGCUCGAGGACAUGAAGUGGUGGCCGAGGCGGAGUAGCAUCCUAGCAUCCUAGCUUCAGCUCGACUUAAUACUGCUGAACCAUGCACAUGAGGCUGUCCUUGAUCAUCUCUUUCGGCAGCAGGUCUCCAUCUCUUGCACUCGCCAGGGUUCCAGAACGAAGUGAUGGGCGAAGCCACACAAGGCUUAGAGCUGCUUGCAGGUGUCGAUGGAGCAACGGGCAACACAAGUAGCUGAUCCAGGAGAGAAGACGCCAGGGAAGCAAGAGAUAGUGAAGCCACAGGGAUCACACCCAAGGCAGGGGCUUUGGCCACCUGUAAGGCCUACUGGGAGAAAGUGUCUAUCUGUAGAAGCAUAGACCCCGAGAUUUAUACUCGUGAGAAAAUCACGAGUUUCUCAGAUUUUGUACCAUCAUGUAGAUGUCUUGCAUCUAAGAUCUAUAAAAAUCACAAGUUUCUCAGAUUUUGUAACACCAUGUAUAUAUCUGGGAAGGAGUUCUUAAAGAAAAUAAAUGCUAGAGUAUAUGCUCA